GGGUAUGGUUUUUGGAAUGUGAAAUUUAUGAUUCCAAUAAAUAUAUAAUUACUUAAAAUAUAUAUAUAAAUUUUUUAAAAAUAGUUUCAAAUAUAAUUUUGCUUUUUCAAAAAGAAAUUUGAAAAAAAAUAAAAAAACAUUCAAAAAAAAGUUUUUAUAAAAAAGUUAGAAUCUGAAAAAGUAUAAUUCGAAAACAUAAAAAAAAAUUUACAUUUUUUUAUUUUUAUUUUUCUUUUUCUUUUUUACUUUUUUUUUUAUUUUUCAGUUUUUUAUUUUUUUUUAUUUUUUUAUUUUUUAUUUAAAUAAUGAUUUAUUAUAUAUAUAAAUAACAAGGGCAUAAGAGUCUUUUGCCACUUAAUGAAGAAAAUAUUUUUGAAAAUGUCUCAUUAGUGGGGGUAAAAAUGAAAAGUGAUACCAUGAAAGUGGUAAACAUGUAAUUUCCCCUUGUUUGUUCUAAAUGAUUAUAAAUUACUGAAACCAAAACAUUCCACAUUAAAAACAAAAUAAUUGGUGUAAAAUUUUGUUACACAAAUAUGCAAAUAAUCAUAAAAUCAUAUAAGUUGAAACCUCAU
rnacentral:lncRNA from 1 species